UUUUGUUUUGUUCAAAAUCUUUAGUGUACUACUUUCAAAUUUCAACAUCCUUCUUUAUUUAUUUCAACUUUUUUCUCAACAUUAUCGUUUCUUUUUUGCUGUCGAUAACAACAACUUGUUGAGUGUCUUGCAAAGAUUAGCCUUUUAUGAUUCCCCGUUUGAUUAGAUUUUAAGGCUUUCCGUUAACCUUUAACAGUUAACAAAGUGUGGAGUGCCUAGCAAAGACAAUUGUGCUUUGUUGCGCGGCAACGUCAGCAACGAUUUUAGACUUCUACUUCUGAUGAGAGAUACAGUGCGUUGCCAUGUUGAAAAAGAAAUUAAAAGGAAAACAUAACACAUUAUACGAGAAAGAAGUUUAAAAAAAAAAAAAACUGGUUGAAACUAAUCGAAUAUUUGAAGCAUUUUUU
rnacentral:sRNA from 1 species